ACGCGUGAGGAACCUACCUUGGAGAGGGGAAUAACACUCCGAAAGGAGUGCUAAUACCGCAUGAUGCAGUUGAGUCGCAUGGCUCUGACUGCCAAAGAUUUAUCGCUCUGAGAUGGCCUCGCGUCUGAUUAGCUAGUAGGCGGGGUAACGGCCCACCUAGGCGACGAUCAGUAGCCGGACUGAGAGGUUGACCGGCCACAUUGGGACUGAGACACGGCCCAGACUCCUACGGGAGGCAGCAUG
rnacentral:rRNA from 1 species